CUUGCUUCAGCGACACACACUAAAAUUGGAAUGAUACAUAGAGGAGUAGCAUGGCCCCUGUGCAAGGAAGACACACAAAUUCAUGAAGCAUUCCAUAUUUUU
rnacentral:snRNA from 1 species